GCUCUGUUGGUGCGGAGGUAGCACACCAGGUCUGCCGCCUGGAGGUCCUCGGUUCGACUCCGAGACAGAGCU
rnacentral:tRNA from 1 species